CAAGCCAAGCCCGAGCGACGCGACCGACCGACCGAUGGACCGACUCGGUCCGGUUGCUGUUGCCGGUUUGCGAAUGCGAAUUUCGUUUGCGUUCGAUUGGAUGGAUACAAGGGGAAGGAGGAGUUGUCGUACUCCCGCGGAGAUUUGUUCCUAACGAGUUGCAGCGAACACAGCCAUAACGGUAAGGUUACUAAGGGUGUGUUUGAGGAGAAGGAGAUUGGAGAGAUUGGGAAGAUACGCAAAACGAGGUGUUUAAAUGUUCGAUGUGACAUGUAAAAAAUUUUAGGUGGGAUCCAAACAAUGCCAAAGGGAAAAGAAAAGGAGAGAGAGAAAGAUUAAUCAAUUCAAUCAUGUGACAUUGAUGGCGACGGUGUGCAUUGCAUUUGCAUUUGCAUGGCUACAGCUGCAGAUCCCAGCACAGCAGCUGCAGCGCAGAGCCUGCAAAUCUGCCUGCAAACGGAGGCCAAAAAGGCCCAGAACCCGGGACGAGGAAUCCUCCUCCCCCCAUCUCCCUUCUCUGCGUGCGCCGCUCGCAUUCGCCUCCGCGACGCCUGCAUACAUCUGUCCUCCAUGCAUUGCCCCCACCAUUCGAUCUCCAUCGCUUUGUGCAGACAGGAGGAGGGGGGCAAAACGACGAGGGUUUUUUUUUUCCUUCACAGUGUAGAUCUCGUUCUUUUCUCAGAGUCUAACAGUUCGGUGUAAUGGUGGGAUGAAAAUGUAUGUGACAUGAGUCUCUAGUUAAGACAAUGUAGCGUACGAUUUCUGCGUAGCCACGUUCUAAAAAUAGAUACGAUUCGGAGUGGAUGAUUCGGAUAUGGAUAUUUUUCCUGUAUACGAAUAUGAAUACCCGAUGAAUAAUGCUAUUCGUAUAUCCAUUAAAGGUUUUGAAAUAUACCACAGUCCGUACCAAUUCUAGACAUUUAAUCUACUCCUUUCGUCCCAAAAUUUUGUGUGAUCAUACUUGUUUAUAUUUGAAGUUUAGGUGAUUUUCAUGUUUCGACAAAAUUUUUGUUUUUUUUGUGUUUGAUUAUGUUCAAUUAUUAUUUAUAUUUGACAUGAUUUAUAUUUAUUUUUGUAUGAGAUAUAAGUUUUUUU